UAGAUUGAAGCCCNCUGGCUUGGGUUUUUAGUUGUUAACUAAAGGUUUACGGGAUCGAGNCCCGUCGAUCUAG
rnacentral:tRNA from 1 species